ensembl:lncRNA
GCUAGACAUGGGGCCGGACAACGGCCAGCCCAGACGUCUGACCGGAGAGGUGGCAUGAGCACGGAAACGGGGGGUUGUUGGUGAAAUGAAAUGAAAUGUGAUUCCACCAAAAUCAUAAACGGCAAGGAGUGAGAAACUGUCCCUCACAGGCAGUAGUAGAAGGAUGCUGGCUUCCAUUCCUCCCUCACCUGUGCUACAUUACCGGUUCCCCCCGGCCCGUCCGUUAACACAAUGCAUUACAACACACACCCAAAUCAGCAUUCUGUGCGAGUCUCCCAAAAUAAAUUAAAAUCAAUGCUAUGGCCACCUGAGUGUGACAGGUCAUCCGUCAGCACGCAGGCCGUCUGGCGAGGUCGUCUGACAAUGUGCUGAAUCGCUCCUCUUUCCAUUUGCUAUUUCAGUACGCACCCCUGCAGUCAGACUUCAUCCAGCAGUCCUAAAUCACAGAGUCCCUCUGAGAGGAGAGCAGCACAGGAGGCAAACAGCACAGCGGCUGCUGUGAGCUCUGGAUCUGUUUCCAAUAAGGGAUGGAGGCAUCACCGGUGAAACCUCUCUGAGUCGUGAUUGCCUUGUGCAGACCAGGAACGUGUGCACGCUGUGCAGAAGCGAGGACUUCCGCCUCUUCUUCUUCUUCCUCCUCUGGCUAAUAGCUCCUUAGAGAGAUAGAUAGAUAUUAACCGCGUGUUCAGACUUAUCGUGGCCGCUAUAAAAGAAGGUUGAGAUGCCGACAUGUUUUAGGAAACGGACGACCAGUCAUGUUUUGAUCAGACAAACCUCCUGUUGGGGAUUAUUGAUCUGGGUCUCUCAGGCUCCGGACGGUAAAUCCAUCCAUCUUGAGAUCCAUUCUCAUUGGCUUACCCCUGAAGAUACGUGGCUUCUGUCAUGUGAUCGCUCCGACCUCCAGCCAGCGUCAGGGGAGGGUCAGACGGCCUGGUGGCCAGGCACGCUGUCUACUGACUGUUUAGAGAACUGCUUCCUGGAAGGGUGGGUGUGUGUGUGUGUGUGUGUGUGUGUGUGUGUGUGUGUGUGUGUGUGUGUGUGUGUGUGUGUGUGUGUGUGUGUGUGUGUGUGUGUGUGUGUGUGUGAAGAUCUCCCGCUGUCUGAUGACUAGAUUACAGUAUUUAUACGCACGCACACACAUAAAGAUGUAGAUACCGUCACAUGACCACGCCCUGGGUCAUUUGCUCAUGGUUCUGUUUGAAAAGAGGGGCACAGAAGACCAACCGAGCGGGACCGAGUUCAGCUCUCCUCUGAUUGGACGACCCCGAUGGACGGGUGAUGAGUCACCUGUUUCCUUUUGGUUUACGGUCACUUCCUAAAGAGCGCCUGACACUUCCUGUCCCAGGCAGCGCCGGUCCAUCGGGGGGCGGGGAGGAAGAGUCUGUGUGUGUGUGUGUGUGUGUGUGUGUGUGUGUUUGUUCCUCUGAAUCUGUGUGUGUGUGUGUGUGUGUGUUUGUCCAAAUGUUUUUGUGUGUGUGUCUCUCUCUCCUAACUUGUCCCCCUCCUCUCUCUGUCUCUCUCUCUCUGUGUUUCUCGUGGGAUCGCUCUACUAGCCCACACAUGCGCUCGCCAGCUCAGCCGCAUCCGCUGUUCAGACACAGGAAGUGACCCGCUGGCCGUCUUCCUGUGUGUGGACAGCAGCGUGAGUCACUGCUGAGAGCCAUAGAAGGAACUGUUCACAGGAGCGACCAAUAGGGCCGGGCCUCCACUGGAGUCCGGCUCUGGAGAGAGAGAGAGGUCGAGAGGUAGAGGGAGAGAGAGAGGUCGAGAGAGAGAGAGAGAGAGAGAGAGAGAGAGAGAGAGAGACUAGCAUUUAUUAUUCAGAGAAUGAUCAAUGAAUCAUCUUAUUACAGUGAAAGACAUUAUUUUGUAUUUUCCGUAUUUACCAUUGAAUUACAAAGUAACUUAAUAUUCAAUUUCCACUUAUUUUUAUCAGGGUAAAGGGUGCAGCCGUUCCAUUCCAGUUCCUCUUACCUGUUGACCAGUUAUUCUGAAGGCCAGAGAAGGAACUGUUCACAGGAGCGACCCCAAGGGCUGGGCCUUCACUGGAGGAGCAGCGGGAGGGAGUCUGCCCAAGAGGGGGGCUGAGAAGGAGGGAGGGGCCACAGUGAUGUGUGAGGGGAGCUUGCUCUGACCUGGGGGGGGG